rnacentral:lncRNA from 1 species
GUUUGUAGAAAAGGGAAACACAGGCAAGGCUGGCAGCCUAGGUAAUGCUGGUCCCAGUGCAGUCUGGUGGAUGGAUGUCUGGGGCAGGCUCUGUGAGGCCCUGGAAGAGCCAUCAUAGCUGGAGGGGACAACUCAGUUUCCGGGAUGAGAGGAGAGCUCCUUCCAGAGGGAAAGCAUGGUUUCUGUCAUGGAGUCACUGCUCCUGCACCCAUCACGGGGCAUCUGCGAGGCCCUGCUUUCCUGGAACCCGAGGAGACCUUGACACUCCGCGCAUCGAGGCGCCUCUGCUUUGGGGCUACCCGUCAGGCUGGCUGAGGGCAUUGUUCCCCCGCGUUAUUGAUGCCUGAUGCGAAGGAGUUGGAGAGGAAGCUCUCCAGUGCUGAAAUGAACGUGGGCAUGCAGACACCUCUAGGAGGCGCUACUUCAUGCUCCUUGGGUACACAGCCAACAGGACUGCUAGAGCACAGGUAACGGAAGGGAAGGGGAUCCCACCCUCACUCGGUUCUGCUUUGUUUCCUGUCCGAAUGUGAGCAGCUUUUCUCUUGUCCAUUAAAGAAGAAAACUUAGAAAGAUGAAGUAGACCCCAAGGAGCCGCCUUCAUUUGUUUUGUUUUGUCUUGUUUGGUCAAAGCAAGUCACAGAACCAGAUCCAUGGGAUCAAGAAACGGACUUCCUCCCUCGAGAUGGGCUGCAAAGUCAGACUCCAAGGAUAUGAGUUGGGCAACAACUGUGGCCAUUUUUGUAAACAAGACCCCGCCCCUAGAGCAGCUCCUCAACCAUUCUGCAAGAGCCCCCUGAGCUGGGGAUGGGGAGAUGGUAUCAUCGUGACACCUUCAAAGCCAAGGAACUGUAGGUGGUGACAGGACUCACCCAAAGGUGCACAGCCACUCGGAGAGCAGGAACCUUCCCAAAUGCCAUGAAUCAAAAGCAAAGGCAACAGGGUGCCCGGGGAGGGUGGACAGAGGAUAUCUUUCCAGGCGGGCAGUGAAGGAAAUUCUGGAAGGGACCCUCCCCAGAGCUGUAACUGCUGCCUGUGGCCAGGGUGGGCUUUCCGGCUGGCUCAGUGGUUUGGGCAGCAUCAGAAGGCAUUUCUCGUUUCACCAAUUUGUUUUUUCGACCACUGUCUUCCACCUUACAAACGUGUUCAUAGCUAACACUCUGGCUGCUGCUCCCCGGGGAACCAAGGACACCCUUAGAAUCAGUCCCUGCAGGUGCACUGGACAAUCCAACCAGGCUGGGUCAGGCUGCCAGAUACACCUCUCAUCUCUCCGGAUGGUGACUGACCACUGGUGGUCACCCCACCCCCGGGCAGUGGCUGGUGUCCCUUGAAGGCCACACCUGGCUGCCUGGCCCAGGUAGAUGAGAGUGUGGCACUCAGGCUUCUUCUCACUUUUUAUCAACUGACCUUGGCAGGACGUCUGACGCCAUACGAGGGGUCAGUCCGGGGUGGCAUGGUGGCCAACAGCCCCUGGAGGUGUGGUGACAACUACUGAGUUGCAGCACAACUACUGAGGGCGGAAGGGGGAGCUACCAGCACCUAGAGGUGGUGGAACCUCGUUCUCCCCAAGGAGGACUCAGCAGGACUCAGUGCAGCACCCAUCAGCUGACCCAGGACCAGGAAGCCCAGCUGGCAUCUGGAAAUGGUCUGGGCUCAUUCUGGGUCACCACAGUGAGGCGCAAACAACUGGCGUUUCGGAGGGACAGGAAGCCAGUGAUGCAGAACCUGAGUCACCCUGGAGCCAGAGAAGCAAUUGGGGGAAGCUUAAGGGACCUUCGUCAUCACCGAGCGUGUGACCUUCCCUGUGUGCGUUUUACAGGCAAGGAAACUGAGGCACAGAGAGGGUGAGGUACCUCCUCUAGGAAGGGGGUCUCAACCCUGCACUACUGACCUCUGGGACCACAGUAAGUCUUUGGGGGCGAAGGACAAGCACAGGGUCUGUGCUUCAUAGAACGAGUCCAGCACCCCAGGCCCUAGCCACAAGAUGCCAGCAAAGCCCCCCUUCUAGCCAGGCACCCCCUGUGCCCGAGCCACCCCCAGUGGAGAACACGGCUCCACUUCAAGCAACCGGUUCCUAGUGGAGCUGGACCUCCAGCCAGGCCACCCAUCCCUGAGCCAUGGCCUCUGGUCUCCCACGACAGCAAUCCAGAGAGGACAGGGCCAACCGCUCCCUCAGACACUGGGAAUCGGAGAAGAAAAAGGAGACAUAGCAGAGAGGCAGGUGGAGAGCUGAUAUUUGAUCAGUGCAUUCUGGAAAGAACUGCAAUUUUAUUUUAGUAGAUUGAUUCUUUUCCAUCACAUCUACAAUACUCAAAGCGACCAGAAAACAGAAAAUGAUGAGUCCAUCAUCUUCCUCCAAUGCAUCCCCAAAUCUCGCUCUGCGUGGAUUGGGCAGACAUACUUUUGCAGAGUAUUUCAGGGCUCAACUAGUCUUGCCUGCUGGGCUCUCCUGUGCUGGGAUUAACUGGCAAUGCCUUGGGUUUGCACUUCACAGAUAUCUAUCUCCCCAAGUAUGGCCUAGGAAGGCAGUUACCCCUUCCUUAGGCAGGGCCAAAGAAGCUCAGAGUGCGUGCAAGGCCAGGCAGCAGCAGAGCUCAGGUCACCAGUGGAAGUGGCUCCCCUCCAAGGGCCUGAGAGCCACAGAGACACUGCCCCAACCUAUCAUGGCUCGGGCUGGGCGGCCCCUCUUGCUUUUUCUCAUGAAGAUCCCCCUCCAGGGAGAUGCAGGGACAAAGGUACAGGCAGGGGCUGCACUGUUACCUGCUUUUGAAAUGUUCCUGCAGCUGGGGCAGUAGGAGGGGUCCUCACAAGCUCAAGAAGUAUCCUAGAAAAAGCACUGGACCUCUCUGAAGUCAAAGUUUUCGACUCAGAUUCCUGGUUGUAGGGUUUCAAGCAAGUCAUUUUCAAGUCUGCCCUGUAUGGUUGUGUGGGUAGCUGACUGCACAAAGCACAGAUUAGAGGCUGAAGUCUGGUCUGUAGCUUGCUCACUAAGCCAUGCUUGGAACAGGGCUGUGUCACCCCAGAGAAAAGGUCACAUUUUUCUAAUUCUCAUAACAAUACUAGAUGAGCCAGCAGCAGUUCUGAUAUCUCUUUUCUUUUCCUGCGGGGGGGGACACAUUUGGUACAUUUGGACCCCCAUUUUUUUAUGUGACCUCUGUGAACUAGGAGGACCUCCCGGAACCUGUCCUCAGGAAUUCUAGAUCUCUUUCCUUCUCAUCUGUUAUUAUUAUCUUUUCCCUUUUCUCUCUUAAAAAACAAAAGGGUUUGGGGAUGGAGCGGUGUGGAAUGAACUCAUCCCAGACAGGUCAGUUUCCCAGCUGGCCAGGAGGAAGGCUGGGCCCAAACUGGUUCGGAACUCAGAAAAGCCAGGUGUGGAGGUGAUGUCCGUAAUCCCAGCACUUGGGGGGCUGAGGCAGGAGGAUCACAUACAAUCACUGCAAUUUUGCAGCGCAAUUACUCUGACAUAAUGAGACCCUGCCUCAAAAAACAAAGGAAAAAAAGAGAGAAGUGCGCUAGACUAAUGAGGACAGCUCCAUGGCUGCUCUGGAGAUGCCGGGAGCAAGGACCACGCAACGGUGCUCAGAGACCAUGGCUUUCUCAGUGCAGGAGUCUGACCAGAGAGGCGGAUUGGCUGAGUUUGGGUCACGCCCAAUUCACACUUCCGGUAGGGGACUUUGAUUGACAGCUCCUUCCGCAAUGCAUACAAAGGCCACCAAAGUGUCAGUCAGAGGAGGUACAGACACGGGAAAUGGGAAGCAUCCAGCAUUUGCUCCGUUCCUUUCUUAUUUUAUUUUUUAUUGGAACAUGUAUGUGAUACCUAAUGAACCUGUUGAUCUUGGGAACUGAUACAUAGUGCAUCUUAAUCUUUUUCAAUUCCCCUUCCCCUCUCCUCCUUCCAUCCCUACAUCCCCUCUCCAUCUGCAAACGGUCUCCCUCCCUGUUUCCUAUCAUGUCUUAUAUUCCUCUUUAAAUUGUUUAAACUUUAGGUUUCUCAUAUAAGAGAAACCAUGUGAUAGUUAUCCUUCCUGUGUCUGAUUCCUGUGUCGGCAUUAUGGUCUUGAGAUGCAUCCAUUUUCCUGCAAAUGACUCAAAUUUAUCCCUCUUUAUGGCCAAGUAGUACUCCACUGUGUAUAUAUACACCGCAUUUUCUCUGUCCGUUGAUGGACAGAAUUUCUAAGAUGUAACUGUUUACUCUAUCCUUUAAAAGCCACAUCCGGACCAGAUUUCCAACUAACAGGAUCCCAUGUCGUUCUUUCCUCUGACUUCCAUUCCCAUUCAGGCCCUGGUUUUGGUUCAUCUCUGAAGGCCUCUGUGCCACCUAACAUUCUGACCACACACAGCCCACACGACAGUGGACCGUCCCUGCCCUCACUGGGAGCCACAGAGAAACUGUGUCUGCAGAAGUAAAGGAGACUUAGAGUCCCACAGACCCAAGCAGAGUCCAAGGUCAAAGGGUUGACAACAGAGAGACACCAGGAAUCUUGGCAACACCCCGGGCCAGACAGCUCUUCAUCUGGAAGGACUCCGGAGGGACCCUCGCUCAUCUCUUGGCCCAGCUCCCCUGCUGCAGGUUCCUCAGGACUUCACCUCCUAGAGCCGUGGCUUCAUUAAUACAACCACUCCAAAAACACAAGGAGCCCUCGCUAAAAGGAUUCACCCCACCAGCUGGGGGGAACAGCAAGGCCCCUGAGGCAGGGAGGGAGAGGACAACAGAGAGUGUGGGGGAGCCUCUAUGAAAACGGGGCAAGUGUUGGCCAGGAAUCCUGGGAGGUUCCUCCACAGAAUGCCAGACACACAGACAAGAAGAGACCAUGAAUGCCCAGGGCAGCAGCUGCGGGGGAGAAGCGGGUUCCUGGGAGGUCACCCCAGAGCAGAAGCUGCAGAAUGGAACUGCAGCCCUGUGGCUCGCACCGCCUGUGGACGACCCAGUGGGCAGAUGCAAAACAUCACAAGGGCUGUCACCCACGUGGGGAGCCAUCUCCGGGCCCCAGGGACGGCCACCAAUCAGCAGGAUUCCGUGGGGACUUAAGUUCCCAAAUGGUUUUAUGUGACAGAGAGGGUUGGGGUGGGGGAGAAACCCCUCAAAGUCCCCCACAUCCUCACUGAAAAAACCAGAUCCAUGUGCUGUAACUUGUUCUAGGGUCGGGAAAGGAGCGGUUGUUGGUAUCCUGUAUGUAAUCAAUGAACUAUUUCUCAUCUCCCUCAAAAUCAGUCUCAGCUAUCUCCUGAUGUCCAUGUGUCUUUGUGUCUGUGUGUUUUUAUGAGGAGAACAGGGGACAAGGAUUCUCGUCUUCCUAACUUGGAACAAAGAUGCAAACAACUGUGGCCGUGUCAAUAUGCACGCUCGAUGACGUGCUUUACCCUCUUAUCAUCCUCUAAAUCGCAGGACAAAGAAUUUCUUCCAGAUGAAUUUUAGCUCUGCUACCAAGCCACACAACUUCUCCAGAUCUCCUUUUCCUGCUCUGUAAAACGAACGGCUUAUAGUCCACACCCAACUGCCUCAGAAUCCUAAUGCAAAAAAACUCUUUGAUAUCAACGAGGAAAAAAAAUCCCACAUGGACCACAGUAUUUCGUCACUUCUCCCAGUGGCACAACACACACAAAUCAAAUCAAAAUAUAAAUCAUUGCACCCUGUUACGGGUCUCAUACAUAGUUUCUUUUAAU